rnacentral:tRNA from 1 species
UAUACUUAAGUGUAAGAGGCACUAGGGUUUUUGAUGCUUUAAGGGGUAGUUUAAUUCUACCGAGUAUAA